rnacentral:rRNA from 1 species
GAGGGGGCUAGCGUUGUUCGGAAUUACUGGGCGUAAAGCGCGCGUAGGCGGACCUGCAAGUCGGGGGUGAAAGCCCGAGGCUCAACCUCGGAACUGCCUUCGAUACUGCGGGUCUCGAGUCCGGGAGAGGUGAGUGGAAUUCCUAGUGUAGAGGUGAAAUUCGUAGAUAUUAGGAAGAACACCAGUGGCGAAGGCGACUUACUGGACACAUAUUGACGCUGAGGUGCGAAAGCGUGGGGAGCAAACAGG